GAGAGCANGAGCCCGGAGAUGGAUUNNGAGACACGAANNNAGNNCCUACGGGGUGCAGCNGGCGCGAAAACUUUACAAUGCGGGAAACCGUGAUAAGGGGAUCUCGAGUGCCAGCAUAUAANGUUGGCUGUCCAGAUGCNUAAAAAGCAUCUGUUAGCAAGGGCCGGNCAAGACCGGUGCCAGCCGCCGCGGUAACACCGGCGGCCCGAGUGGUAACCGCUAUUAUUGGGUCUAAAGGGUCUGUAGCCGGCCAGGUAAGUCCCUUGGGAAAUCUGGCAGCUCAACUGUCAGGCUGCUAGGGGAUACUGUUUGGCUUGGGACCGGGAGAGGUGAGAGGUACCUUGGGGGUAGGGGUGAAAUCUUGUGAUCCCCGGGGGACCACCAGUGGCGAAGGCGUCUCACCAGAACGGGUCCGACGGUAAGGGACGAAAGCUAGGGGCACGAACCGGAUUAGAUACCCGGGUAGUCCUAGCCGUAAACGAUGCUCGCUAGGUGUCAGUCACGGUGCGACCGUGAUUGGUGCCGUAGGGAAGCCGUGAAGCGAGCCACCUGGGAAGUAUGGCCGCAAGGCUGAAACUUAAAGGAAUUGGCGGGGGAGCACUACAACGGGUGGAGCCUGCGGUUUAAUUGGAUUCAACGCCGGAAAUCUCACCGGGGGCGACAGCGAUAUGAAGGUCAGGCUGAAGACCUUACCGGAUUAGCUGAGAGGUGGUGCAUGGCCGUCGUCAGUUCGUACUGUGAAGCAUCCUGUUAAGUCAGGCAACGAGCGAGACCCACGUCCACAGUUGCCAGCAUACCCUCCGGGGUGAUGGGUACACUGUGGAGACCGCCGCUGCUAAAGCGGAGGAAGGAGUGGGCAACGGUAGGUCAGUAUGCCCCGAAUCUCCCGGGCUACACGCGGGCUACAAUGGUUGGUACAAUGGGCAUCUACCCCGAAAGGGGAAGGUAAUCUCUUAAAGCCAAUCGUAGUUCGGAUUGAGGGCUGCAACUCGCCCUCAUGAAGCUGGAAUCCGUAGUAAUCGCGUUCAACAGA
rnacentral:rRNA from 1 species